rnacentral:lncRNA from 1 species
UGUGGCCCUUUGCCGCAUGAGCGCUGGCCUUCUUUGCCUCAGCGUGGAUCUCUCUGCCUGGCUGCUCGGCAUCUGCGUCGCGUCUGCAUCUGGCUGCUUUGCCACGAUCUACUUUGCUCUCUGAUCGAGAUUUGAUAAGGCUCCUAGGGUUAUCGAUCGUUUUUUUAUUCUCCCCCCAAACAUGUGGAUGCAGUCCAUCGGUACCACGUAGUUUUUUUUGUAGCCCAUUGGUAGAAUUUUCCCCCCUUUCUUAAUGAACUCUAAGUGAACGAUAUGGCUGCUGGUAUCGGGAGAGAGAGAGAGUAUUUUGUUUUGUUUUUUUAAUAAAGCCACAUGUAUUUUGAAACUAUAAAUUAUUCAUAUAUCCAUUAGAAUGAAUUUAGUCUCAUUCAUAAAUUAAAAAGUUAUAUAUAGAUUUCUCUUUCAUACCCGUAGUAAACAUGUGAGAAAUUCUUCUAGUUUCUUAUACAUAUGAGCUUUGGUAAAAUUAUGUCCGCUCAUCAAGAUCAAC